rnacentral:rRNA from 1 species
GUCUUUUUGAAUUUAAUAUAAAGUCUGAUCUGCCCCCUGAUUUAUUAAAUGGCCGCAGUAUAUUAACUGUGCAAAGGUAGCAUAAUCAUUAGUUUUUUAAUUGGAGACUUGUAUGAAUGAUUGGACGAGAUAUAGACUGUUUCAUUAAAAUAGAUAGAAUUUUAUUUUUUAGUUAAAAAGCUAAAAUUUUAUUAAAAGACGAGAAGACCCUAUAGAUCUUUAUAAUAUUUUGAUUAUUAGCUUAUAAGAUUAGUUUUGCAAUAAUUUUUUUAUUAUUUUAUUGGGGUGAUAUUGAAAUUUGAUAAACUUUUGAUUAAGUGUUUACAUUAGUUUAUGAGUAAAUGAUCCAUUUUUAGUGAUUAAAAAUUUAAGUUACCUUAGGGAUAACAGCGUAAUUAUUUUGGAGAGUUCUUAUCGAUAAAAUAGUUUGCGACCUCGAUGUUGGAUUAAGAUUAAUUCUAGGCGUAGCAGUUUAGUUUAUUAAGUCUGUUCGACUUUUAAUUUCUU